UGAUAUCAGAUGAAGCUGUAGAAGAACAAAUCUAAUCGUAGAUCUACAAGAAGUUUCGGCUCGCAAGAUUUGAACAGAAAGCUAAAUGCAGAAAGUAAAAAGAUACAGGGAUUUGUUGACGCUGUUUGGAGAAAACUCCUACUCAGGGGAGCCUCAAAGAGGGAAGACUCAACCCGAAUCCACUAUCAGCAGAGAGCACUCAAUUUCAGAUUACAAAACAGGAAGAAAAACCCAAGACCUAACCCUAGAACAACCAAAGAACUCAAACAAUCUAACAACAAUACAUAGAAGAUACUCAAAGGGAUUCAACCCCCUUCAGGCUGAGGAACUUCUCCCCUGAAAGUUCCCUGAGUAGUGAUCGGAGCACAAACCAGUGGCGGAGAUCUUCAGAUCGCCAUCAAAUGCUUCGUCUUCU
rnacentral:lncRNA from 1 species